rnacentral:rRNA from 1 species
CGCGGCCUAUCAGCUUGUUGGUGAGGUAACGGCUCACCAAGGCAUCGACGGGUAGCUGGUCUGAGAGGACGAUCAGCCACACUGGGACUGAGACACGGCCCAGACUCCUACGGGAGGCAGCAGUAGGGAAUCUUGCGCAAUGGGCGAAAGCCUGACGCAGCAACGCCGCGUGGGGGAUGAAUGCCUUCGGGUUGUAAACCCCUUUCAGCAGGGACGAAAAUGACGGUACCUGCAAAAGAAGCUCCGGCCAACUACGUGCCAGCAGCCGCGGUAAUACGUAGGGAGCGAGCGUUGUCCGGAAUUAUUGGGCGUAAAGAGCUCGUAGGCCGUUCAGUAAGUCGGGUGUGAAAACUCAAGGCUCAACCUUGAGACGCCACUCGAUACUGCUGUGACUUGAGUCCGGUAGAGGAGUGUGGAGUUCCUGGUGUAGCGGUGAAAUGCGCAGAUAUCAGGAGGAACACCAGCGGCGAAGGCGGCACUCUGGGCCGGUACUGACGCUGAGGAGCGAAAGCAUGGGGAGCAAACAGGAUUAGAUACCCUGGUAGUCCAUGCCGUAAACGUUGGGCACUAGGUAUGGGAUCAUAUCAACGGAUUCCGUGCCGUAGCUAACGCAUUAAGUGCCCCGCCUGGGGAGUACGG